AUAGUACUCCCUCCGUCCGAAAAUACUUGUCGAAGAAAUGCAUAAAAAUGAAUGUAUCUAUACAUCCAUUCCUCCGACAAGUAUUUCCGGACGGAGGGAGUACAAG
rfam:Triticum aestivum genome assembly, contig: Triticum_aestivum_CS42_TGACv1_scaffold_147935_2BS